GAUGAAGAACGCAGCGAAAUGCGAUAAGUAAUGUGAAUUGCAGAAUUCAGUGAAUCAUCGAAUCUUUGAACGCACAUUGCGCCCGCCAGCACUCUGGCGGGCAUGCCCGUUCGAGCGUCAUUUCAACCAUCAAGCCCCCAGGGGCUUGUGCUGGGGCCCUGCGGCUGCCCGCAGGCCCUGAAAACCAGUGGCGGGCUCGCUAGUCACACCGAGCGCAGUAGCACAUCUCGCUCAGGGCGUGCGGCGGGCUCCUGCCGUGAAACCCCCCACUGUAACCCCAAAGGUUGACCUCGGAUCAGGUAGGAAUACCCGCUGAACUUAAGCAUAUCAAUAAGCGGAGGA
rnacentral:misc_RNA from 1 species